rnacentral:rRNA from 1 species
GGAUGCGAUCAUACCAGCACCAAGCACCGGAUCCCAUCAGAACUCCGAAGUUAAGCGUGCUUGGGCGAGAGUAGUACUAGGAUGGGUGACCUCCUGGGAAGUCCUCGUGUUGCAUUCC